GCUCUGCAAAGACGUCAUUAAGCUCCGCCUUUUCUCCUGCACUUCACGUCUUCAGUUUGCGCCACUUCUUCAGUCAGUACUAUUUUCCUCCUCUCGCAUGUCAAACACGGCUUGUUUGAGGCUGGAGCGACCACGAAGGGCGCAGCUAAAAGCUAAGCGCGGCUAAUGCUAAACGUUAGCUUAAUUAGCUAGUUCGGCGGCUAACUCGGCUGCUAACUGGCUGACUGUAGACGGGAUCAUCCCUAUGUAGGACAUGUUUUUAGCAGCGCUUAAAACUAAGCACAACAGACAGCAGAAGUAUGUGAAGUUGGCCGAGGUAGAAGGACACUUUGACUUUCUUCAAUUCCACGAAAAUGUUCUUGAGAGAUUUGCCUGCCACCAGAUGCACAAGUCAUUUACAAGGACGCAACAGGUACAGAAGUUGAUGAAGAAAUAUUCAGCGACCUGGUUGGACAAGGCAAUGUGGUGCUGACAGUUUUCUCAAAUGAUGAGUUUUCUGAUUGGUCCCUGUCUUCAGCUUCUGAGUCGGACUCAAGCUUCAGCUCAAAUGCAUCGACUGUAAACAUGGAUGAGGUCCCAAGGAAGAGACAACGAUUUGCAGAUGCAAAUGCAGCGUCUGCUAAACAGUUGAUAGAAGCUGUGCUUAGAGGCAAGUCCGGUGGUGAAGAGGUACUACAGGAGUACCGAAGAACAGAAACAUUAACAGAUGCUGCAAGACGGCACAUGGUGAACAUACUGGUGGCUCACAUGAUUGAUAACCAUGGCACCUCCCCAUUAAAGCGAUCAGAGAAGAGUAUGCUCUUGGUAUCGUGAUGCUGUUCCCUUCCCUCAAGGAUCCAUAUUCCAAGAAAGGCUAUGAACACACUCAGAAAACAGUCCAAAUGCAGAUUCGUCGAGGGUCUGCAAUGCCACCGAGUAGCUCCAUUGGCUUUUCUCCAGGAGGGCCAACUUUGCAAAGGAUGUUAAUGUUGAAGGACAGUGUGGUGUAUAAAGCUGGACUUGUUGUAUGCUGUACAGUGGAAGAAGACAUGCCAGUCUUUUGUGAAAUAAGUGAUGUUCUUUUGGUUGAUAAUCACAUUUUUUUUUCUGACAAACAAGCUAUUCAGAGAAUUUUGAUGGCCAUCAUCAUGCAUUCAGAGUAUUGCGAAGUGAGGGAAGGUGUGUCAUAAAAAUGUCAAAGCUUAAAUGUUAUAAACUGUUUGAUAUUCAAAGCUCAUAGUGUCUCAGAUGAAACUUGUACAUUAUACCUUCAUUUGUGAUGUUUUGAAUGACUGCAAGGGAGGAAAAAUAAAUGCAAGUUUAAAAAAUGAUGAUAUUGAUUGGAAUUAUUUUAAAAUACAUAUUCAUUUUAAUACUGUUUCAGUGUUGAUAGCUUAACACUUUAGGGAGUUAAAUGGACCCUACCAAAUAGUAAAAAUUUAACUGAGCAGUGUUACUCGUCCAAUCCCUUAGUGUUAAUUUAACUCUGAUUUGGGAGUUAAAGAAGGAACGCUGGCAAAGUGUUAAAUGUUUAACUAUUUUGAAAGUGUUAAUUUAACUCUGGAGAGUGUGGAGCAAUAUAAACCCUCAAAAAGUGUUGAAAUCAACUCUGGGAGUUAAUACAACACUGGACUUUUUGCUGUGUAUGGUGCUGGUGUCCGGCCAGCUGGUAUUUUGAACUUUUUAUUAUUUUAUCAUUAUUAUUGUUCAAGAUCCAAGAUCACUUUAUUGAUCCCUGCCGGGAAAUUGUUUAGUCCAAGUCUCAAGCAAACAGAGAACAGAAAUGUGACCAGACAUAGAAAAAAUAGUCCGGAUCCAAAGUGUUUCAGUGUUUGUUAAAUAAAGUUGUUGUUAUUGUUGUCAUUUGUACCAGGGAUUAAAUGCCUUUUAUUUCUGUCUGAAUUAUUGUCCAAAAAUAUUGCUGGAUAAUAAAAACGAGAUUACUACAUUUGAAAUUCAUUUUUAACUUUGGUCUCAAAGGUCGGUGGUUUAGUGAACGAUUAGCCUCAUGCCGCCCUCUUGUGGUUUGUUUUAUCACACGCCGAAAUAAGUUACAAACCGGACUGACCAUUAAAUGUUUUUCAUGAAUUAAAAACUGCCGAGCUCCCUGAUGGGGACAGGAUUAUGGAUUAUCAAAAUUGUGAUUUGUUUUUUUUGUUUUGUUUUUUUGUUGUUGUCUUUUUUUUUCCACAGAAACAGACAAGAAAAAAACAUGUUAAAAAGGAAGAACAACUACAACUACAAUGUAUGUUAUGGAUUAUUAUGUAGUGUAGUAUAAUAUUCCCGUUUUUGUACAUGGCAUGUGUAGAAUAUGUCCGACUCUUCGAUUUUCAAAGUAUCAAAAAAAUAAUAAUAAAAUAAAAUUUUUUGUCUGAAAGACAGCCAGCUGUUACCGGGACACUAGUCAUGAAGAGUCUUCCCUACUUCUGCCGCGGAGAGGUCAUUCGAGGAUUUGGAAGAGGAAGCAAAGAACUCGGUAUUCCCACAGCCAACUUCCCAGACUCAGUGGUGGACAACCUUCCAGCAGAUAUCAGCACGGGGAUCUACUAUGGCUGGGCCUGCGUUGGUAAUGGUGAUGUGUAUAAAAUGGUGAUGAGCAUUGGCUGGAACCCUUACUACAAAAACACCAAGAAAC